CAGCAGCCACGGUAAUACGGAGGGCGCGAGCGUUACCCGGAUUUACUGGGCGUAAAGGGCGUGUAGGCGGCCUGGGGCGUCCCAUGUGAAAGGCCACGGCUCAACCGUGGAGGAGCGUGGGAUACGCUCAGGCUAGAGGGUGGGAGAGGGUGGUGGAAUUCCCGGAGUAGCGGUGAAAUGCGCAGAUACCGGGAGGAACGCCGAUGGCGAAGGCAGCCACCUGGUCCACUUCUGACGCUGAGGCGCGAAAGCGUGGGGAGCAAACCGGAUUAGAUACCCGGGUAGUCCCUGUCUCUUAUAA
rnacentral:rRNA from 1 species